rnacentral:rRNA from 1 species
CCUACGGGAGGCAGCAGUGAGGAAUUUUCCGCAAUGGGCGAAAGCCUGACGGAGCAAUACCGCGUGAGGGAUGAAGGAUUUUGGUCUGUAAACCUCUUUUCUCAAGAAAGAAGUUCUGACGGUACUUGAGGAAUAAGCAUCGGCUAACUCCGUGCCAGCAGCCGCGGUAAUACGGGGGAUGCAAGCGUUAUCCGGAAUGAUUGGGCGUAAAGCGCCUGUAGGUUGUUUAUUAAGUCCGUUGUUAAAGCCUAGGGCUUAACCCUAGAAAAGCAAUGGAAACUAGUAGACUAGAGUAUGGCAGGGGUAGAGGGAAUUUCUAGUGUAGCGGUGAAAUGCGUAGAUAUUAGAAAGAACACCGGUGGCGAAAGCGCUCUACUGGACCAUUACUGACACUCAGAGGCGAAAGCUAGGGUAGCAAAAGGGAUUAGAUACCCCUGUAGUCCUAGCCGUAAACGAUGGAUACUAGAUGUUGUGCAUUAUGUACAGUAUCGUAGCUAACGCGUUAAGUAUCCCGCCUGGGGAGUACGCUCGCAAGGGUGAAACUUAAGGAAUUGACGGCUGAGAGNGCGAGCGACACGAGGGAGAG